rnacentral:rRNA from 1 species
CACGUAGGGGGCAAGCGUUGUCCGGAUUUAUUGGGCGUAAAGAGCUCGUAGGUGGUUCGGUAAGUCAGGUGUGAAACCUCCAGGCUCAACCUGGAGACGCCACUUGAUACUGCCGGGCUAGAGUCCGGAAGAGGCGAGUGGAAUUCCUGGUGUAGCGGUGGAAUGCGCAGAUAUCAGGAGGAACACCAACGGCGAAGGCAGCUCGCUAGGACGGUACUGACGCUGAGACGCGAAAGCGUGGGGAGCAAACAGG